UACAAAUUUUUAUUAUAGUACAUAUAUUGGUUGUUUAUUUGAAAUAUUCACCGUUUUGAUUUAUAGAGUUUGUUUGUACUAAUUUAUUGUUUGAUAGUACUAGUUUUUUUCUUCCGAAACAUAUUUUUUUCGAAUAUACUAAAAUUAAUAGAAGUGGACUGAUAUCUGAUGAAUUUAAUCUAGAAAAGAGGUGUUCUGAGAUUCACCGGAAAAUCACGCCGGAGGCUCUCUUCGAUGCGAUAGACGUCGCGCCGGUGAAAGAACCACGCCGGCGUUUGUCACGCUUCUGGGCGGCAGUACCGUUCUUCAACGCUUUUCCGGCGUCGACUUGGUCACCGGAGAGUAGGCAGCUAAACGUGAAGGGAUGACGAGAGCACUGGUGGUGUCGCGGUUUCGAGCGACAUCUACACAGACUACACCGGCUCAAUUUCCUCUCCUUCUCCAAUCAUGUUUCGCCGUGGGCUUGGCCCCCGGCGAGGACUUGGUAGCCGGCGUGGAUGACGGUGGCAGUUGACGACGAGAAGAGGAACGUCGCGGCUGCUACAGCAACAACAGCAAACCCUAACUGGAAUUUGGGUCAGACCCGGUUUCGCCAUCUGGGCUUUGGGUCAGACCCUCCCUGGAGAAGGGCCAUUGCUGUUGGGCCUGAGCUGUUGCUGGUACUGUUUUGUGCUGUGGCUGUUUUAAUGGACAACCCAUUAUGGGCUGUAACAACUUAUAUAUUUUAAAAAAAGUGAUAACAUGCAAAAAUGUCUGAUCCUUAAGUUGUAUGUUUAAAAUGCUUACUUUUAUAAAUAUAAGCAUUUUAUGCCUAA